rnacentral:rRNA from 1 species
UACGUAGGGGGCUAGCGUUGUCCGGAAUCAUUGGGCGUAAAGCGCGUGUAGGCGGUUCGGUAAGUCCGCUGUGAAAGUCGGGGGCUCAACCCUCGAAUGCCGGUGGAUACUGUCGGACUAGAGUACGGAAGAGGCGAGUGGAAUUCCUGGUGUAGCGGUGAAAUGCGCAGAUAUCAGGAGGAACACCAAUUGCGAAGGCAGCUCGCUGGGACGGUGACUGACGCUGAGACGCGAAAGCGUGGGUAGCAAACAGG